CUGGCCCUGAAUCAAGGCUGGCAGCUUCCUAAAGAGUUGUCUUUCUAUGGUCUGUUGGUCAUUUCAGAACUUGGGCAGUGAAAUGGUCAACUCAUUAGAAAGAAACAGCU
ensembl:snoRNA